rnacentral:rRNA from 1 species
GGCGAGUGAAGCGGCAAAAGCUCAAAUUUGAAAUCUGGCGCCUUCGGUGUCCGAGUUGUAAUUUGAAGAUUGUAACCUUGGGGUUGGCUCUUGUCUAUGUUUCUUGGAACAGGACGUCACAGAGGGUGAGAAUCCCGUGCGAUGAGAUGCCCAAUUCUAUGUAAGGUGCUUUCGAAGAGUCGAGUUGUUUGGGAAUGCAGCUCUAAGUGGGUGGUAAAUUCCAUCUAAAGCUAAAUAUUGGCGAGAGACCGAUAGCGAACAAGUACAGUGAUGGAAAGAUGAAAAGAACUUUGAAAAGAGAGUGAAAAAGUACGUGAAAUUGUUGAAAGGGAAGGGUUUGAGAUCAGACUCGAUAUUUUGUGAGCCUUGCCUUCGUGGCGGGGUGACCCGCAGCUUAUCGGGCCAGCAUCGGUUUGGGCGGUAGGAUAAUGGCGUAGGAAUGUGACUUUACUUCGGUGAAGUGUUAUAGCCUGCGUUGAUGCUGCCUGCCUAGACCGAGGACUGCGAUUUUAUCAAGGAUGCUGGCAUAAUGAUCCCAAACCGCCCGUCUUGA